AAAAUCCUGAGGUGCUCGUUGAGAUUGUAUAAUUUAUCCAACAUUUUGAUUCACGGUACUCCGGGUUUUCGCGAAUAUGCCGAGCCGUUUCGGACGGAUAGCAGACGCGCGGAACAGGACAACCACUUUAUUUUCGGAUAAGGUUGUGAAUUAAUGAUCUGACGGCACAUUCGGGAUUUUU
rnacentral:sRNA from 1 species